rnacentral:lncRNA from 1 species
CAUAAUUAAAAUGUUAUUCUCAAAUUUGGUAUUACUUAGACAUUGUGGACAGAAAGAGAAAGCUGAUUAAAACUAUCAAAUUUGAGACUAAGGUAGCAAUUUGUAAAAAGGGUGCCCUGAAUGUGUUUGAUAAAUGCCUUAGGAAAAUGCCAAAAAUAUUUUUGAUUUGGAAAGGAAAUGAACCUGGUUACCAGCCCAUAAGUCCUCUGCUCUGGUAUUACCCACCAAACAGCCCUCUACUUCCUUUGAUAUACGUUUCCGUUGACAGGAGAUUCCUUAAUUUUUAUUUUUAUUCUAAAUAAUUUGCUAAAACAUUUUUGGAAAAACUGAACUGGAUGUAUCCCAAGAUAAUCAUUUCAAUAACAAAGAUGUAGAGUUGUAGCACAGAAAUAUAUUAGGAUUUAAGUAGGGGAACCAUGAGAGAACAUGUUGUCCCAAAUCAACAGUUGCACUAAAACAGUGAAGCCAACGUUCCUUCUGUAUUAAUAUGGUGGCCCUUAUAAACAACACAGGAGCAAUAAUUAAUGAUAUGCCAAAUCAACUAAUGCAAUAUAGAUUAAGUGUAAGGCGCUUAAUGUUUCAAGUGCUGUAAGUGGCACAGAGAUCCCCCCUCCAUUUUAACACCUUAUCUCCUUUCCAGAUGAUGUCCACAGUCAUUCAACACCACAGCCAUGCAUAUCUCUGACCUCGGGACACAGGUAAAUUCUACUGCUCUACCAGCCCUCUCAGUUCUGUAUUCUGAAGUUCACUUUCAUUCCUUUGCAGAUCUGCACUCCUAUGACUCCUACAAUGGCUGCUGGUCCUCCCUGCUUUGCCCCCCGUCCACGCACACACACCAUGUCUUUUCAUUCUUCUGUGACUACCCAUGCUGCUUCCUUUGAGCACCCAGGGACCCCAUCCAUUUUGGAGAAACCAACUCUGCUUUUCACUCCCGCAGAAGUCCAUGUGUCAUCUUCUCAUUAUGUGGCAAACACCAAACUGACUCGCUUUUGGUAUUCCUGGAAGCUGCACUUGGCUUUGAUAAUCUACAGUCAUUUUUCAGGUAACUGAUGUCAAGUGGGAAUGUGCUGGGGUAGAGGAGGCCUGAGCCAUUUCAAUCAAUGUCAGGAGUGAAAUUCAGAGCAACUAACAGAUAUAUAUUCCUUGUCUUCUCCUGGUGCUGUGAAAAUUGAUCUCUAAAAUGCUUUGACUCCAGGUGAAAGUAGUUGUAUAUCAUAAAAGCGGCCUUGCAAAUAUCCUCUCACCCAAAGUAAGUAACAAUUUUUGAUGGGCAAAUAGGUAAGAAAACUUAUCUUUAUUUUAUGAUCUUUGGCUAUUGGAGUAGAGAGCAAGCUAGGGAAACAGUUUUAUUUAUGUUUGUGAUCACUCACCAGCCUGGAUUACUUCUUUGUCUUACACAUAGUUGUAUGAUUUCAUGCAUAAUCACUUUAUUCAUCUUCUCCCAUCCCAGGCUUUAUCAAGCUCCAUGAGAGCAGGAAUGAUGCGGAGGGAUGUUCCUGCCCAGGAGCAGCUACUUAAUAUACACCUGAAAGGAAAUUGGUACAUCUGGCGUGUACAUCUGAUAAAGAGGUGUCAGUUAUUAAGGAUCAGCCUGAAGAGGGUGCCUUGAGGGGUCAGUUUUCCUUUAGAUAAUAAACAGUUUUCCCAAUCACAGAGAUUACAUUGGGGGAAGAAAUUGAACUGAGUGUUGAUAACAAGUCUGUAGUUCAGAGUAAAUUUCACAAAUUCACCUGGCCAUAUUUUGCAACUGCUUCUCAACUGGAUCUAGAAGCAGACAGAGCAGCAUUUAAUAAGCACUUAUCCAAGUAAGCCCUGGUGCCAAGAUUUAAGUAUCAAAGAACAAAACCUUGUCCCAGCAUGGUAGCUGGCACUAGGGUAAAGCACAAGAGGUGCUAUUUUUGGGUACAAAAUUUAACAGGGUACUGAGAAACC